AGUGAACGCUGGCGGCGUGCCUAAUACAUGCAAGUCGAACGGAGAUUAAGUAGCUUGCUAUUUAAUCUUAGUGGCGCACGGGUGAGUAAUAUAUAGCUAACUUGCCCAUUACUAAGGGACAACAGUUGGAAACGACUGCUAAUACCUUAUACUCCGUAUCUAUAUAAGUAGAUACGGGAAAGUUUUUCGGUAAUGGAUAGGGCUAUAACGUAUCAGCUAGUUGGUAAGGUAAUGGCUUACCAAGGCGAUGACGAGUAACUGGUCUGAGAGGAUGAGCACCCAACCCCGAACGGAGACACGGUCCAGAAUCCUACGGGAGGGAGCAGAAGGGAAUAGUAGUCAAGGCGGGAAACUCAGGAGGAGCAACGCCGCGUGGAGGAUGGCACUUUUCGGAGCAUAAACUCCUUUUCUUGGGAAAGAAUUAUGACGGUACCCAAGGAAUAAGCACCGGCUAACUCCGUG
rnacentral:rRNA from 1 species